AUAAUGUUUAAUUUUAGUCGAUGCCCUGUAUCCGGGUGCGUUUUAGUUAGACGAGCGUCUUUUAAUCGAUUGAGCCGAUAUUUUGUAUGUGAUUAGAGUCACUAUCCAUGUACUAGUCACCUACAGAAAAUCAGCUGAAUUGGUUGGAUGAAAGUUGAGAAAUAGCGGUGGGUGGACUCCAGCUUCUUACAGGAGCUUCCUUUAGGAAUUUAUUUUAACUAGCCCGUCGUUACGCUCCUCAAAAUUAAAAAAAAAAAACAGUCCUGAGUUGUUAUGCCUCCGGAUACCCUAAUUGGAGUUUUUUUUAUUCUAGAGCGUAUUCUGAUUUUUACAUCAGGACGUAGCCUCUCGGUAGUUCGGUGAUUUCCCGGUCGGCGAAUUAACCUCCGCGCCCCACCACGAAAGACUAAACAAUAUACACCAUUUUGCAAUCAUCUCGACCACAAUUGGCUGCGUCCCUUCUCGUUACUUACAUCGAACCCAGUCCCCAGUUCACCCCUAUUCCCGUUUUCGAUCAAAACGGAUUUGUAUGCGGAAUCCAGUUCGAUCGAAAAAGGCAAUAGUUGGGUGGUUGGUUCCUUACUUCUUCGAAAUUUUCUGUGUGAUUUUCAUCAAUUUUGCCGACAAUUAUAAUACAAUUUCCAUCUUUCUUUUCUGCUUUUGACUAUCUCCCCUCAGUAAAAAUAAAAAAUAACCUCUACCGCCAGAGCCUGUACCCCAAGCACACCCGAACCUACCACAAUAUGUGCAACCCCAACCGCAGGAGCAUGCACGACGGCAAAUUUGUCUGGCAGAAUUACAAUAGCUACAAACCCUAACUUCGGAAACUUCUUGGCAAAAUGGAUUUUGCUGUUCACACUGAAACUGAAACUAAUGUUCGCAAAUCGAA